GAUCAUGGCUCAGGAUGAACGCUAGCUACAGGCUUAACACAUGCAAGUCGAGGGGCAGCAUGGUCUUAGCUUGCUAAGGCCGAUGGCGACCGGCGCACGGGUGAGUAACACGUAUCCAACCUGCCGUCUACUCUUGGACAGCCUUCUGAAAGGAAGAUUAAUACAAGAUGGCAUCAUGAGUUCACAUGUUCACAUGAUACGAAGUCGUUACGGUAGACGAGGU
rnacentral:rRNA from 1 species